CACGUAGGGCGCAAGCGUUGUCCGGAAUUAUUGGGCGUAAAGAGCUCGUAGGCGGUCUGUUGCGUCCGCUGUGAAAACUCGGGGCUUAACCCCGAGCCUGCAGUGGAUACGGGCAGACUAGAGGUAGGUAGGGGAGAAUGGAAUUCCCGGUGUAGCGGUGAAAUGCGCAGAUAUCAGGAGGAACACCGGUGGCGAAGGCGGUUCUCUGGGCAUGUCCUGACGCUGAGGUGCGAAAGCGUGGGGAGCAAACAGG
rnacentral:rRNA from 1 species